CGGGGUGAGUAAUGUCUGGGAAAACUGCCCGAUGGAGGGGAGGAAUAGCUGGAAACGGUAGCUAAUACCGCAUAACGUCGCAAGACCAAAGAGGGGGACCUUCGGGCCUCUUGCCAUCGGAUGUGCCCAGAUGGGAUUAGCUAGUAGGUGGGGUAACGGCUCACCUAGGCGACGAUCCCUAGCUGGUCUGAGAGGAUGACCAGCCACACUGGAACUGAGACACGGUCCAG
rnacentral:rRNA from 1 species